UACGAAUGGGGAACACAAGGCCAAGAGAGG
rnacentral:piRNA from 1 species